rnacentral:rRNA from 1 species
CUGAAAGGGGGGCUUUCGCGCCCCGGGGCUCUGCCCCGUACCUUUCCACCCUAUGCGUACCUUCCACUGUUGCUUUGGCGGGCCUCCGGGCUUUCCCGGCGCUGGCUCGGGUCCGCGUGUGCUCGCCAGAGGCCCAUUAAAACCUGUUUUAUCAGUGCAGUCUGAGUAUACAUACAAUCAAGUAAAACUUUCAACAACGGAUCUCUUGGUUCUGGCAUCGAUGAAGAACGCAGCGAAAUGCGAUAAGUAAUGUGAAUUGCAGAAUUCAGUGAAUCAUCGAAUCUUUGAACGCACAUUGCGCCCUUUGGUAUUCCGAAGGGCAUGCCUGUUCGAGCGUCAUUACACCCCUCAAGCCUCGCUUGGUAUUGGGUCCUCGCCCCCUCGCUUCCAGGGGAGCGCGCCCGAAAUUUAGUGGCGGUCCAGGUAGACUUCAAGCGCAGUAAAUCUAUCCGCUUCCGAAGCCUUCUGCCUGCGGCCUCGCCAGUUGAACCAUAAACUUUUCACGAA